rnacentral:rRNA from 1 species
GCAUCUGUUAGCAAGGGCCGGGCAAGACCGGUGCCAGCCGCCGCGGUAACACCGGCGGCCCGAGUGGUAACCGCUAUUAUUGGGUCUAAAGGGUCUGUAGCCGGCCAGGUAAGUCCCUUGGGAAAUCUGGCAGCUCAACUGUCAGGCUGCUAGGGGAUACUGUUUGGCUUGGGACCGGGAGAGGUGAGAGGUACCUUGGGGGUAGGGGUGAAAUCUUGUGAUCCUUGAGGGACCACCAGUGGCGAAGGCGUCUCACCAGAACGGGUCCGACGGUAAGGGACGAAAGCUAGGGGCACGAACCGGAUUAGAUACCCGGGUAGUCCUAGCCGUAAACGAUGCUCGCUAGGUGUCAGUCACGGUGCGACCGUGAUUGGUGCCGUAGGGAAGCCGUGAAGCGAGCCACCUGGGAAGUAUGGCCGCAAGGCUGAAACUAA